AAAUGGAGUCUUGAUUGUGGGUGUUUUGAUGACUACGAAAGAGUAUUAAUUGGCGUUUCGAAUUAUCUAUUAGUUCACCGAAGGAAGCUAGUAUUCUUGAUAUCUUUAGAAGCAUACUGAAUCGAAGGCAGCUUAUUGGAGAAAGCACGCCAUUACGACAUUUCCAAAUAACCCAAAAGUAAGUGAGGACUAUCAGACUAAGAAGUUUCCUCUUCGGCGGAUGUAUCAUUGCAUGCUUGUGGACCUCGAAGAGUUCUCUGACAUUUGAAGGCCUAGUGAUCGGGAGAUUGUAUCAAGUAACGAUGGAGUGCCAUAGUGAGGAUGCAAAGGAACAGUGGAUGAAAAGAUGCUCAUUUGUUUCGUUGAAUUUUUGACACAUUGGGCAGGAUGUGGACGCAAUAGCAAUGUUGGGCUGGUUUCAAAUUAAGAGUUAUUUUCAAUUGACUCUCUAUCAGGUCUCGUUGAGUAAGUCUGGUUCUGGUUCAGAACAUUAUGCUGGAAAGGUCAUUCAAGAAGCGGAUAUGAUAUCACUUUGGUAGUGUAAAAUAAUAUUAUCUUUUGUGACGAGAUGUAUUUCAACCUAAGCCAUAGAUCUUUAGUUUAAACUUAGAUACUUUAUUUUUUUUUGGUAGAAAUCACUUUUGAUGUGGAAUUAUUGGUUAAUGAAAUGUAUAAUAGUUUGAAUUCGAUAUUAGAUUCUUUAUUUAUAUAA